rnacentral:rRNA from 1 species
AUUGAACGCUGGCGUCAGGCCUAACACAGGCAAGUCGAUCGAGUGGCGGACGGGUGAGUAAUGUGUGGGGAACUGCCUGAUGGAGGGGGAUAACUACUGGAAACGGUAGCUAAUACCGCAUACCAUCAGAUGAACCCAUAUGGGAUUAGCUUGUUGGUGGGGUAACGGCUCACCAAGGCGACGAUCCCUAGCUGGUCUGAGAGGAUGAUCAGCCACACUUGGACUGAGACACGGCCCAGACUCCUACGGGAGGCAGCAGUGGGGAAUAUUGCACAAUGGGCGCAAGCCUGAUGCAGCCAUGCCGCGAGUAUGAAGAAGGCCUUGGGGUUGUAAAGUACUUUCAGCGGGGAGGCGUUACCCGCAGAAGAAGCACCGGCUAACUCCGUGCCAGCCGCCGCGGUAAUAC